GCCUGGGUGGCUCAGUCAGUUAAGCUUCUGAUUUAGGCUCAGGUCAUGAUCUUGUGGUUUGUGGGUUCAAGCCCCAUGUCGGGCU
rnacentral:tRNA from 1 species